UAGGGAAUCUUCCGCAAUGGGCGAAAGCCUGACGGAGCAACGCCGCGUGAGUGAAGAAGGUCUUCGGAUCGUAAAACUCUGUUAUUAGGGAAGAACAAAUGUGUAAGUAACUAUGCACGUCUUGACGGUACCUAAUCAGAAAGCCACGGCUAACUACGUGCCAGCAGCCGCGGUAAUACGUAGGUGGCAAGCGUUAUCCGGAAUUAUUGGGCGUAAAGCGCGCGUAGGCGGUUUUUUAAGUCUGAUGUGAAAGCCCACGGCUCAACCGUGGAGGGUCAUUGGAAACUGGAAAACUUGAGUGCAGAAGAGGAAAGUGGAAUUCCAUGUGUAGCGGUGAAAUGCGCAGGGAUAUGGAGGAACACCAGUGGCGAAGGCGACUUUCUGGUCUGUAACUGACGCUGAUGUGCGAAAGCGUGGGGAUCAAACAGG
rnacentral:rRNA from 1 species